GGUAGGUUUGCAGAGGAAAAACAAAGUAGGUAUCAGCUCAGUAUCAAGUCAUAUGUGAACUUUUACAAAACUCCAAGGGCAAGAUUUUUUGUUUUUUAAAACACCAGCAUUCCAAUAGACAGGUUUCAGAGUAGCAGCCGUGUUAGUCUGUAUUCGCAA